rnacentral:rRNA from 1 species
AGUGAACGCUGGCGGUAGGCCCAACACAUGCAAGUCGAACGGCAGCACAGUAAGAGCUUGCUCUUACGGGUGGCGAGUGGCGGACGGGUGAGGAAUACAUCGGAAUCUACUUUUUCGUGGGGGAUAACGUAGGGAAACUUACGCUAAUACCGCAUACGACCUACGGGUGAAAGCAGGGGAUCUUCGGACCUUGCGCGAUUGAAUGAUCCGAUGUCGGAUUAGCUAGUUGGCGGGGUAAAGGCCCACCAAGGCGACGAUCCGUAGCUGGUCUGAGAGGAUGAUCAGCCACACUGGAACUGAGACACGGUCCAGACUCCUACGGGAGGCAGCAGUGGGGAAUAUUGGACAAUGGGCGCAAGCCUGAUCCAGCCAUACCGCGUGGGUGAAGAAGGCCUUCGGGUUGUAAAGCCCUUUUGUUGGGAAAGAAAAGCAGCGGGUUAAUACCCCGCUGUUCUGACGGUACCCAAAGAAUAAGCACCGGCUAACUUCGUG